rnacentral:rRNA from 1 species
AAAUUGAAGAGUUUGAUCAUGGCUCAGAUUGAACGCUGGCGGCAGGCCUAACACAUGCAAGUCGAACGGUAACAGGAAGCAGCUUGCUGCUUUGCUGACGAGUGGCGGACGGGUGAGUAAUGUCUGGGAAACUGCCUGAUGGAGGGGGAUAACUACUGGAAACGGUAGCUAAUACCGCAUAACGUCGCAAGACCAAAGAGGGGGACCUUCGGGCCUCUUGCCAUCGGAUGUGCCCAGAUGGGAUUAGCUAGUAGGUGGGGU